rnacentral:sRNA from 1 species
UAUACAUUACACUACUUAAAAUAGUCACUCUUCCCCAAAUUCUAAACUCUCAGGAUCAUAGUCAUUGGAUAUUUAUUCCCCUUUAAAGAAAAACGUUUAGAAGAUCUAUGAAUGUUAACAGUUCAGGGGAAUUGAGGUUACAUUUUACCUUUACUGUAGGAAAACAAAUAAGGAAAUUAUGCCCAGAUGUCUGCUUGGUUAUUAGCACUUGUUCCUGGUUAAUUAUUAAAUGUUUUUAUUAAUAAAGUCUAAGUCUUUCCACAUGAUACAUUUUUACUAUAUUACUUAAUAUUUCAUUCUUGUUUGUCUUUAGGUGUACAGUGAAUAUAGAGCCAGUCUUGCUUUUGACCUUGUUAGCAGCCGACAGAAAAAUGCAUACACUGAUUAUAGUGACUCUGUAGCACGGAGGAUGGGCUUUAUUCCUCUCCCACUAGCUGUUUUAGUUGAUAUCCCUGAAAGUGCUUAAUAGCAUCGUGCUGUUGGGGAAAUCGUGCCAGUAUGUGAAGGAAGCCAAAAUGGAAGAGAAGCUGUCGAAUCCUCCCCCAACCUGCACUCCAGGCAAG